UACGAAGGGGGCUAGCGUUGCUCGGAAUUACUGGGCGUAAAGGGCGCGUAGGCGGAUGACUAAGUCGGGGGUGAAAGCCCGGGGCUCAACCUCGGAACUGCCUUCGAUACUGGUCAUCUUGAGUACGGGAGAGGUGUGUGGAACUCCGAGUGUAGAGGUGAAAUUCGUAGAUAUUCGGAAGAACACCAGUGGCGAAGGCGGCUCACUGGCCCAUUACUGACGCUGAGGCACGAAAGCGUGGGGAGCAAACAGG
rnacentral:rRNA from 1 species